rnacentral:lncRNA from 10 species
UGUAUUUUUAGUAGAGACCCUCUACAGUAGAGCACACCCUCGGAAAAGCCACGCUGCACUCACUAUCUCAGGACCAGCUUGGGUGUCCCUGAAGGGCAGAACAAAACCUUUCCAAAGGCAAAGCCUCACUAUCAAACAGAGAAGAGGCCAGUGAAUGACAAGAGCUGAUUGAAGAGUUUCGGUGGAAAACACCUCACUGGUUUAGACCAAGUCCCUUCAGGGGACUGGACUGGGAGUAAGCAGAGGCCAUGCUUCCUGCCUGGCUUGGCAGGAGUGAGGGGCUGCUGGACGCCCACGGGGUUGCUGGCUCUGGAGAGGGAACUGGUAGUGCUGGAGGGUGAUCCAGGGGGAGCAGUCCCCACCUCCACCAUUGCUCAACCACCCGCCUGCUUUCUGCUCAGCUUUCCCCAGAGGCCUGCUGGGGGCUUGCUGCGCAGCCGCAAACAAAAAGGCCUCUUUGUAGAUCCUCCCCUAGGACGCUCCGGAGGAAACAGCUCCCCUCGAAGCGGUAUUCAGCAUUCACGGCUGUCACCCAGGAGUCCCUGCUGGGUGCUGGGCCCAGUGCCGGGAGCUACAAAGAUUCUUGAUUAAUUCACCAUUUCCCAGCCAUUGGAAUAAGAAGUGCCUCUGUAGCAUUUGCUGGUGCUCACUCAGACAUCUGCCUUUAUUUUUGUGGACAAAGAAAAAUUUACAGGGUAUUGCCUGUACCAUCUGCCUGGGUCUCAGACUGAGGAUGACGAGGAGCAGAGUGGCAGCCAACUCAUAAUAGGCUGCACAGACUGCAUCCCAUGUUUAGAAAAACGUCAAAGGAAGGCUUCCGUUCUCGCCAGCACCCGGGAAAAGCAGCUCCCUUACAGUGCAGGCAUUGAAGGUAUCCUUGGAGAGCCUCAGGUUUAACUGUCUCCGGGGAGGACUCCCACGUCCCUUGCUGAGACGUGCCAUGGGGCCUGAAGAAUAAUGCUCCCUUUCUCAGGGAGCCGAGACACACCUGAGACGUGAAUAAACCAGUCCCAAUAAAAUCCCACUUGGGCUGAUGGCCAGCAGAUGCCUCUGGACCCAUUUCUCAGACACCGAAGACGAGGCACAGUGACUUGGCUUACACCAGCUAACAGCCCUGACUUGCUGGAGGGUGAGGAGCCUUCCUUCCAGGCCCUCACCUGGUGUCACUGCCUGGACUGGAGCAGUAAACUGGAACGUGCCACCAGGGAAAGGAAGCCACAGAUGGGGCGGGGCAGCUGCAGUAAUUGCUGACUUGUUUUGAUGCUGCGCAGGGCCCUAUUAACCCAUGAGUACGUUAUUGGCCCUCUGGUCUCUUAAUCUCUAAAUAAUAGGUAUGAUGCUAAUUACCUUGCAGAGUUUUGUUGCAAUGAUUUGAGAAAACAAAAGCAGCUCUAAUAAAAAACAGAGGUCA